rnacentral:rRNA from 1 species
UAGGGAAUCUUCGGCAAUGGGGGGAACCCUGACCGAGCAACGCCGCGUGAGUGAAGAAGGUUUUCGGAUCGUAAAGCUCUGUUGUUAAGGAAGAACGAGUGUGAGAAUGGAAAGUUCAUGCUGUGACGGUACUUAACCAGAAAGGGACGGCUAACUACGUGCCAGCAGCCGCGGUAAUACGUAGGUCCCGAGCGUUGUCCGGAUUUAUUGGGCGUAAAGCGAGAGCAGGCGGUUAGAUAAGUCUGAAGUUAAAGGCAGUGGCUCAACCAUUGUAGGCUUUGGAAACUGUUUAACUUGAGUGUAGAAGGGGAGAGUGGAAUUCCAUGUGUAGCGGUGAAAUGCGUAGAUAUAUGGAGGAACACCGGUGGCGAAAGCGGCUCUCUGGUCUGUAACUGACGCUGAGGCUCGAAAGCGUGGGGAGCGAACAGG